UACGGAGGGUGCAAGCGUUAUCCGGAUUUACUGGGUUUAAAGGGCGCGUAGGCGGCCGAUCAAGUCAGGCGUGAAAUUCCCGGGCUCAACCUGGGGGCUGCGCUUGAUACUGAUUGGCUUGAAUGCGGGAGAGGAUAGUGGAAUUCCCAGUGUAGAGGUGAAAUUCGUAGAUAUUGGGAAGAACACCGGUGGCGAAGGCGGCUAUCUGGCCCGUAAUUGACGCUGAGGCGCGAAAGCGUGGGGAGCAAACAGG
rnacentral:rRNA from 1 species